GAGUUUGAUCAUGGCUCAGGACGAACGCUGGCGGCGUGCCUAAUACAUGCAAGUCGAACGAACGGAGAAAGAAGCUUGCUUUUUUCAAAGUUAGUGGCGAACGGGUGAGUAACACGUGGGUAACCUGCCCAUCAGAGGGGGAUAACAUUCGGAAACGGAUGCUAAAACCGCAUAGGUUCCUUAGUUGCAUGACUGAGGAAGGAAAAGAGGCGUAAGCUUCUGCUGGUGGAUGGACCCGCGGUGCAUUAGCUAGUUGGUGAGGUAACGGCUCACCAAGGCGAUGAUGCAUAGCCGACCUGAGAGGGUGAUCGGCCACAUUGGGACUGAGACACGGCCCAAACUCCUACGGGAGGCAGCAGUAGGGAAUCUUCCGCAAUGGACGCAAGUCUGACGGAGCAACGCCGCGUGAGUGAAGAAGGUUUUCGGAUCGUAAAACUCUGUUGUUAGAGAAGAAUAAGCAUAAUAGUAACUGAUUAUGCCGUGACGG
rnacentral:rRNA from 1 species